rnacentral:rRNA from 1 species
AUUGAACGCUGGCGGCAGGCCUAACACAUGCAAGUCGAGCGGAUGAAGGGAGCUUGCUCCUGGAUUCAGCGGCGGACGGGUGAGUAAUGCCUAGGAAUCUGCCUGGUAGUGGGGGAUAACGUCCGGAAACGGGCGCUAAUACCGCAUACGUCCUGAGGGAGAAAGUGGGGGAUCUUCGGACCUCACGCUAUCAGAUGAGCCUAGGUCGGACUAGCUAGUUGGUGGGGUAAAGGCCUACCAAGGCGACGAUCCGUAACUGGUCUGAGAGGAUGAUCAGUCACACUGGAACUGAGACACGGUCCAGACUCCUACGGGAGGCAGCAGUGGGGAAUAUUGGACAAUGGGCGAAAGCCUGAUCCAGCCAUGCCGCGUGUGUGAAGAAGGCCUUCGGAUUGUAAAGCACUUUAAGUUGGGAGGAAGGGCAGUAAGUUAAUACCUUGCUGUUUUGACGUUACCAACAGAAUAAGCACCGGCUAACUUCGUG